AGAGUUUGAUCCUGGCUCAGGAUGAACGCUAGCGGUGUGCCUAAUGCAUGCAAGUCGAACGGGAAGCUUAACUUCGGUUAAGUGGAGAGUGGCGAACGGGUGAGUAACACGUUGGUGACCUGCCCUAGAGAGGGGGACAACCAUUGGAAACGAUGGCUAAUACCCCGGAUGUCAAUAUGUUUAGAGAAGUAUUGACUAAAACUCCGGUGCUCUAGGAGGGGCCAGCGGCCCAUCAGCUAGUUGGUAAGGUAAAGGCUUACCAAGGCAUAGACGGGUAGGGGGCGUGAGAGCGUGACCCCCCACACUGGUACUGAGACACGGACCAGAUACCUACGGGUAGCAGCAGCAAGGAAUAUUGCCCAAUGGACGAAAGUCUGAGGCAGCAACACCGCGUGGAGGAAGAAGGCCUUCGGGUCGUAAACUCCUUUUCUGAGGGAUGAGGAAGGACAGUACCUCAGGAAUAAGUCUCGGCUAACUACGUGCCAGCAGCCGCGGUAAAACGUAGGAGGCAAGCGUUAUCCGGAUUUACUGGGCGUAAAGCGCAUGCAGGCGGUUUUAAAAGUUGGACGUGAAAGCUCCUGGCUUAACUAGGAGAGGCCGUUCAAAACUAUAAAACUAGAGGAUGAUAGAGGAGAGUGGAAUUCCCGGUGUAGUGGUGAAAUGCGUAGAUAUCGGGAGGAACACCAGUGGCGAAGGCGGCUCUCUGGGUCAUAUCUGACGCUCAUAUGCGAAAGCUAGGGGAGAGAACGGGAUUAGAAACCCCGGUAUUCCUAGCCGUAAACGAUGUCAACUAAGUGUAGGAGGUUAUAAACCCCUUCUGUGCUGAAGCAAACGCGGUAAGUUGACCGCCUGGGGACUACGGCCGCAAGGCUAAAACUCAAAGGAAUUGACGGGGACCCGCACAAGCGGUGGAUUAUGUGGAUUAAUUCGAUGCAACGCGAAAAACCUUACCUACCCUUGACAUGUAGUGAAUAUUCUAGAGAUAGAAUAGUGCCUUCGGGAACACUAACACAGGUGCUGCAUGGCUGUCGU
rnacentral:rRNA from 1 species